GACGGAGGAUGCAAGUGUUAUCCGGAAUCACUGGGCGUAAAGCGUCUGUAGGUGGCUAAUUAAGUCAACUGUUAAAUCUUGAGGCUUAACUUCAAAAUCGCAGUCGAAACUGGUUGGCUAGAGUAUAGUAUAGGUAAAGGGAAUUUCCAGUGGAGCGGUGAAAUGCGUAGAUAUUGGAAAGAACACCGAUGGCGAAGGCACUUUACUGGGCUAUUACUAACACUCAGAGACGAAAGCUAGGGUAGCAAAUGGG
rnacentral:rRNA from 1 species